CAGAUCAGAGUCAAUCUCAAUGGAAGAGGUUUGUACCUUUCUCUUAGAGGCAGCUGCAUCUUCCCAGGCACUCAGCACUCAUAUUUCAUUCUUCACUGUAGAGUUUUUCCUCUCGUAGUUUUGACUUACCCUGGCUGACACUGUGACAGUUACCUGACUGGUCACUUGAUCCCCUGCGACCCAGAAACAGUCAGCCUGGAGGGGUGUGGAGGCUCCACUACCCCUGGAGUUACAGGAAAUCGCCAUGAAACUGGAGGGGCCGGUGAGGUGGGCCAAGGAGUCAGCAUGGUCCUCAAAAGGCCUGCUACUGCCUUAAGGGGACGCACAUCAUCAGUUAGAUGGAACCCAGCUGAUGAAGCAGUUUCCAUGGAAAUCCUGUGGCGUGCUUGGCAAAAACAGUCUGCUUUGUGCAAGAAAAAGGAGCUUCAAGAGGUGGAUUUUUUUUCUAAAAGCUCCUCUGGAGACCUCACUCAGCACAGGACUCUCAGCAGCUCAUUCUAAUCCAGCUGCCAUCCCUGCCUCUGGCCUUGGCCCCAGUCCAGAAUGAGGACAUUUCUCAAUGGUUUAAGAGCUUCCUGCUUCUAGAAGAGGUGAGUUGGCCUUUAAAGUGCCCAGACAAGUGGGAUCAGUGUAGAGAGACACUUUUU
rnacentral:lncRNA from 1 species